rnacentral:snRNA from 1 species
AUACUUACCUGGCAGGGGAGAUACCAUGAUCACGAAGGUGGUUUUCCCAGGGCGAGGCUUAUCCAUUGCACUCCGGAUGUGCUGACCCCUGCGAUUUCCCCAAAUGUGGGAAACUCGACUGCAUAAUUUGUGGUAGUGGGGGACUGCGUUCCGCUCUCCCCUG